rnacentral:rRNA from 1 species
UACGAAGGGUCCAAGCGUUAUCCGGAAUCAUUGGGUUUAAAGGGUCCGUAGGCGGUUUUGUAAGUCAGUGGUGAAAGCCCAUCGCUCAACGGUGGAACGGCCAUUGAUACUGCAAGACUUGAAUUAUUAGGAAGUAACUAGAAUAUGUAGUGUAGCGGUGAAAUGCUUAGAGAUUACAUGGAAUACCAAUUGCGAAGGCAGGUUACUACUAAUGGAUUGACGCUGAUGGACGAAAGCGUGGGGAGCGAACAGG